rnacentral:lncRNA from 1 species
CAAGAACUCUUUUUUGAGAGAGAGUGAGAGAGAAAGGGAGCCGAGAAAGAGAGAAAGAGAGGAGAAAGAGCAUCGGUUUAUUUUUGAGAGAGAAGAGAGCAUUCACGGCUACCAUACAACCGAAGGUAAAUUGGAAUUGUUUUUUUUUUUUGCUUUGUUUGUGUUUGUCCCAUGUUUGAAUGAGAAUCAAACUAUAUAAAACAUUAUUUGAUAAAUUCACAUAUACUUCACUAGGUUCCCUCGUGGCACGAAUUUUCUCAACUUGAAGGCAUACACCAUGGCUUCUUCUUCAAACCAAGUAAGUAUCCUAUUUCGUUGAUUUUAAAUUCGGAUUAGUUGUGUUUAAUUCUUUGAAGCAUGUUAUUUUCCACAACAAGUUGAAGCAUGUUAUUUUCGUGAAUUAUUUUGGUGACAUUGUUU